rnacentral:rRNA from 1 species
AGCAGCCGCGGUAAUUCCAGCUCCAAUAGCGUAUAUUAAAGUUGUUGCAGUUAAAAAGCUCGUAGUUGAAUUUCGGGAUUGACGUGAUGGUCAUGCCUUAAGGGGUAUGAACUGUUACUGUUGAUUUCUCACCUUCUGGAGAAACUUGAUGUCCUUUAUUGGGUGUCUUGCGGAUCCAGGACCUUUACCUUGAAAAAAUUAGAGUGUUUAAAGCAGGCAUUUUUGCUCGAAUACAUUAACAUGGAAUAAUAGAAUAGGACGGCAUGGUUCUAUUUUGUUGGUUUCUAGGAUCACCGUAAUGAUUAAUAGGGAUAGUUGGGGGCAUUAGUAUUCAAUUGUCAGAGGUGAAAUUCUUGGAUUUAUUGAAGACUAACUACUGCGAAAGCAUUUGCCAAGGAUGUUUUCAUUAAUCAAGAACGAAAGUUAGGGGAUCGAAGACGAUCAGAUACC